UACGUAGGGACCAAGCGUUGUUCGGAUUUACUGGGCGUAAAGGGCGCGUAGGCGGCAAUUCAAGUCAGCUGUGAAAUCUCCGGGCUUAACUCGGAACGGUCAGCUGAUACUGCUUUGCUAGAGUGCAGAAGGGGCAAUCGGAAUCCUUGGUGUAGCGGUGAAAUGCGUAGAUAUCAAGAGGAACACCUGAGGUGAAGACGGGUUGCUGGGCUGACACUGACGCUGAGGCGCGAAAGCUAGGGUAGCAAACGGG
rnacentral:rRNA from 1 species